AGCUUAGGUGACAGAGUGAGAAUAAAUUCAAUUUAUAUAAUAAUUAUAGGUUUAUCGUAUCUUUGGUAACUUCUGAUAGUUCAAGUUUCUCUAGGAAUUGGUAUAUUUUAUUUAUGUUGCUGAAUAUAUGUGUAGAUUUGUUGGUAAUAUUUUUUAAAGUUAUGCUUUUCAUUUCCGUGGUUUCUGUAGUAAUAUCUGCUUUUAUUGUCGACAUUGGUAAUUUGUGUCUACUCUCCUCUUUUUCCUGUUAAUAUCAGUGGAGUUUUAUCAAUUUUUAAAAUCUUUUCAAAUAACUACUUUUUGAUUUUUAAAAUUUUCUCUAGGAUUUUAAAUUUACAAUUUUAUUGAUUUUUGUUUCUAUCUUCAUUUUACCUUCCAUUUGCUUAGUUACAGUUCCUUAAGAUGAAUGUUUGGGCUAUUUACUUGAGAUCAUUCUUCCUUUGUAAUAUGAGCAUUUAAUAUCAAUUUCUUUCUAUGUAUUUCAUUAGCUGCAUAUCACAUACAUUUAUAUGUAAUAUUUGCAUUUUAAUUCAGUUAAAAAUAUUUUCUAAUUUUCCUUGACAUUUUUACUUUGUAUUAUAGAUUCUUGAGAAAGUGAUGCUAAAUUUCCAAGUGUUUAGUGAUUUUCCUGCUAUCUUUCUUUUACGAAUUUCUAGUUGAAUUCUAUUAUAUUCAGAAAACAUACUACGUAUGAGUUCUAUUAUCUCAAUGAUUUAAGAUCUGUUUUUAUUAUCCAGAAUAUGGUCUACUUUGAUGCUGUGAUUUGAAUGUGUCCUCAAAAAGGUAAAUGUUGGAAACUUAAGCCUAAUGGGAUGUGUUUAGGUCACCAGGGCUCUACCUUCAUUAAUGAAUUCAUGCCACUUAUAAAAGGGUUUGAGGCUAUAAAUUUUCUCUCACUCUCUCACACAUGCUAUCUCAUCUUUUUUCCUUACACCAUGGGAUGAGGCAGCAUGAAGGCCCUCAUCAGAUGUAGGCUUCUCAAAAUUGAACUUCUCAGCCUCCAGUACUGUAGUAAAUAAAUGUCUGCUAUUUAAAAAUUAUUUAGUCUGAAGUAUUUUGUUAUAGUAGCACAAAAUAGAAUAAGACAAGGCAAAUUAAAGAUUUAGUAAGGUAAGUGUUCAUGAACACUUGACAAAAAUGUGCCUGCUACUAUUGUUGGGUGGCGUUCUAUAAAUGUAAUUAAAUCCAGUUGGUGAGAGUUGAAGUCUCCAACUACAAUUGUAGAUUUUGUCUAGUUCCUUUUGCUAUGUCAGUUUUUCCUUCCUUUAUAUCUUCUUGGAGAUUUUUUUUCUUUUAAAAUUGUGUAAUAUCCCUAUAUGUUCUCUGUAACUUUCUUUGCUCUCAAUUCCACUUUGACUGAAAUUUGUAUAAACCAUAUCAGAUUAUUGGUCUUUUUGGACUAUGGUUUGCGUAGUUUGACAUGUGUGACACACACACACAUACACACAUACCUAUAUUUCCAUCUUUUUUCAUUUUAAACUACCAGUAUCAUUACAUUAGAAGUCAGUUUUUUGUAUAUAGAAUCUAGUUGGAUUAGGAUUUUUAAAAAUUCAUUCCGAUAAUAUGUGUGAGUUAAUUUGUGUGUUCAGACAAUUUAUACUUAAUGUGAUUAUUGCUAUGUUUGGAUGUAGGUCUACAAUUGUGUUUUUUAUGUACCUCUUUUUAUUUGCCUUUCACUUUUCUUAUUUUCUUUUCGUUGAUUUACACAUUUUAGUAUUUCAUUUUAAUUUAUUAUUGGGUGUUUGACCAUAUCCCUUUGUAUAGUUUUGGAUUUUUUGUUUUGUUUUUAUUUUGUUUUGCUUUAGUGAUUUCUCUAGUUUUUACAGUGUACAUAUUUAGCUCUUCAUGAUUCACUUUAAAUCAGUAUUUUACCACUUCAAGUGGGAAGAUUAGAAACUUACCAUAACAUAGGUAUUUUACUUGCCUUUUUGUAGUUAUCAUAUAUUACAUCUACAUACAUUGCAAACUCCAUUAGUAUAUAGGUUUUCAUCCCCACGUGUGUUGAGAUUUUCCUGAUUUUUCCUAUAUCUAAAAAAUUUUAAUUGUAUCCUGCAUAUUUUGAAUGUCAUGUUAUCAGCCAUUUGGUCUUGUUUAAAUUAUAUGUAUUUGUUUGUUGUGGUAGGCCAUUAACUGAUACAGAUUUUGGUCACAAGUUCCAACCUGUAUGCUGUGGCGCUAAUUUCAGUUUACUUUUUGAAGAUUUUCUGUGCUAUUUAACUCUUUCCUGUGUGCGGGUCAUCCAGUGGCAAGUCUGGGACAUAAGUGAUAGUUUAUUUCUGUGUUCAGUUUUCAAAAUGUGCUCCUUAACAUCAGAUCCAUGCAUACUCAAAUCAGGAUUGAACCCAGAAGAUUAAUAAGCAAUUUUAUAGAUCACCUUCCUAAGCUUUUCUCUUUCUGUAAUCUUUUUGGUUCUUUCUGAUUUUCUCGGGGCUUGCUUUUAUACCCCCCAGUCAGGGAGCUGCACUGUAUUUAACCCUAUUUGUUAAAUUCUUAAUUCCAUUGCAACCAUGUUUGGGGCCAAAUGGCAGAAGGACAAAAAUAGUAAAAGCAAUGAACGUUUACCUCAUCUUCUUAAUACCACAACUUCUCUGAUCAAAGAACUUUCCCCUCCUUAACAGUUUUAGGUAACUGCAGGCCCAUGCUACAGCCAUCAUUACCAUUCAAAGUCCUCUUUCUGACUCCUCAAACUAGAACCAGAAGACAUCUCCUGCAGCUCUCUCUUUCUUCAUUGGUAUUCACUUCCAGGUUUUAAGCAGCUCUGAGAUCAGGUUGACAGAUACCACACAGGUAGAUAUAAAUGGGAAUCUCCAAGAUUUUCCACUUUUCAGAGAUUGUUGAGGGCUGACAAACUCAGUGUUACAAUGUGCAUUUCACACGUCAACCCGAGGCUACUGCCUGAAGGUCUCUGACAGAAAUCAGUGUGCUCAAAAUGCCGCCAGGGCCCAAGCAGGAAAGGUACAUACCUCUAUGGAGCACCCAGAGCUGCCAGGAAGAAACGAGUUUGAGAGAAAAAUGCUAGCCACAAAGACAUGGUCUCCCUUUAUCGCUGAAGCUAGAGUACAGGGAUUAUAGCUCAUUGCAGCCUUUAGCUUCUGGGCUCAAGUGAUUAUCUUGCCUCAGUCUCCCAAGUUGCUGAGUAUCUGAGACUAAAGUUUCAGUCUGAUUGGCUCCAAGCCCUAAAACCAACCUCAGGAAAAUCAGUCAUUAAGCUGAUGAAUAGAUCUUGGAAACACGCACAUAAGAAAAGAUCUCUUUGGAAACCUUCAUGACUGGAUUAACUGGCAACCCACUCUUUACAGACUGAAAGACUGAUAGAGUGAAUCACUAAAAGACCACUCACUCUUUCAGAGUCAUGUAAUGAAGUCAAGUUUCUCCAAAGUCAAGUUUUUCUUUGCAACCUCAAACACAUGCCUCCAUCAGGAACACCACCUCUGCAGCAACUCUGAAUUCCUGAACUGUUCCACCUGGAAUAAAAUCAAAUGUUGCAUUCUCUAACCAUUACCUAAGGGAUUUAUGGGUCACUCAAUAGGACAUGUAAGAUCCAUUCUAGCUUUUCAAGCACCUUUUCAAGAAAUACUUUGAGGAAUUAAGGUCUUGUGAGAUGUUAUUAAAGCAAGUAAUACAGUCUGGCAUCCUUCUAGGUUUAUACUCACCUGUCCAUCAUGUGGAAGCUGGAGAGUUACUUCUUUUGAUAAUUCAAGAAUCUUGGGAUACUUCAGAGAGCAAUUCUCAAACAACUUCUUCAAACUGACAGCCUUCAAGGAAUUGUGCAGGAUAGAUGGGUGGCCAAAUGACAAGCUUGGAAAGCUACAGGGGAACGCUACCUGCUCCUCUCCAUCCAUUCCUGGCUCUCUACUCUUAACUCCAUAUUUCACUUCACCACUGUGUCAUUAAAAUGUUCAGUACCAAGAAGCAGACUGUUCGCAAUGAUAGGUAUAAACUGUUCAAGAAGACACCCAAUACUAGCAAAUUUUUCUGACUCCUUUUAAAAUAAAAACUGGCCUUCUUACAGUAAUUUCAAACUUAUAAAAGGCACGGAUUAAUCCAAAAUGCCUAUAUAUAUUCAGGAUAGCUUUCCUAAGCUGAUUGGCCUUUGACUGUGAAAUUUUACCUAAAAAAAUCAAGUUAAUAAAUCAUAUGUAUAUGAACAAAGACAUUCACUGUCAACUGACCUGUGAAAACAUAAAUUAUAUUACCAGUUUGGGGAUUAUUAUUAUAAAAUAAAUCUUUAAUUUAUGUAGAGAAGAGUUACUAAUGAGUCAAAGCAAGCUCUCGCCUUUAAUGAACAAUUCCUGAAAUGUUUCAUAAUACAGGAAAAAUUCUACUCUGUCUACAACCCUUUUCCCUAUAGCUCUGUGGUUCUGUAUGAUAAUGAGGGAAAUUUAUUAUUGCUAUUUCUGAAAAUCCUAACUGCAAUAAAAUAUAAAAAAUCUUUAACAAUCAGUGUGAAUAUUUGCAUAUUGUAUGGCUCCUAAAUAUUUAAUUAUUUAAUACAUUCAAAUAAUCAGCACCUUUUCUUUAUUUUUUGAUGUCACCUUAUUUAUGAUUUUUGCUUGAAGCUAGAAGAACUCUAAGUGGAAAGAUACAUUAUUGUAUUAAAGGGUCCCAAAUCCCCAGGACAGGGACUAGUACCAGUCCGUGGUCUGUUAGGAACAGAGUCACACAGCAGGAGAUGAGGGCCCUGCUAGCGAGCGUUACAUUAUUGCCUGAGCUCCAUCUGCUGUCAGAUCAGUGAUGGCAUUAGAUCUUAAAGGAACAGGAACCCUAUUGUGAAUUGUGUAUGUAAGGGAUCUAGGUUGUGUGUUCCUUAUGAGAAUCUAAUGCCUGAUGAUCUGAGAUGGAACAGUUUCAUCCCAAAACGUUCCCCCCACUGCCGCCCAUCCUGGAAAAAUUGCCUCCACAAAACUGGCCCCUGGUGCCAAAAAGGCUGGGGACUGCUGCUAUACUGUAGAUUAAAUCCUGAUAUUCUUAUUUGAUUCAUUUCACUUGAAAAAGUAAAAAUAGAAUAGACUUCUUUUAUGUUUGCAGAAUU